GUCGUGGGAUUAAACCGGAUCAUCCGCAUUAAUAUUACUAAAUAAUACCAAACACUAGACUGAUCUGUAUUAAAUUAGCUAAUACAGUGUAUAAGGGCCUGUUUGCUUUAUUUGGUUAGGCAAGACUAUUAUUUAGUCUAAUGAUAUUUCCAUGCUUGCUAGUUUUUUCAUUAAGUAAGGUGGCCCGCUGAAGCCCGGUGGCCCGCAAUUAAAU
rnacentral:lncRNA from 1 species